UGAGCAAUCUACCUUUUUGUGGGGGAUAGCCGGCCCAACGGCCGGGUAAUACCGCAUACGAUCUUCGAGAGGCAUUUCUUGAAGAUGAAGCCUACGGGGCAAAAAGAGGAGCUCGCGGCCUAUCAGCUAGUUGGUGAGGUAAUGGCUCACCAAGGCAAUGACGGGUAGCUGGUUUGAGAGGAUGGCCAGCCACAUUGGGACUGAGAUACGGCCCAGACCUCCGUACGGGAGCAG
rnacentral:rRNA from 1 species